GUUCUCAGCCAGGUACGCACACUGGGAACUGCCAAAGACAGGAACCCUGCAGGGAGGAGCAGAGACAGCGCUGGUUCCCAGGGGAACACCUUGUGCCCCUGUCCCCCCAGGCCCUGCCCGGCUCCCCGGCACUCACCUGGAGCUGUAGCUGCUGCCGUCCCCCCAGUGCAGGCGCUCGCCCCGUCUGCGCAGCCCGAUCCAGUAAUCCACGUUCCCGCGGAGGCGGAAGAGCAAA